UGGGGAAUUUUGGACAAUGGGCGAAAGCCUGAUCCAGCAAUGCCGCGUGUGUGAAGAAGGCCUUCGGGUUGUAAAGCACUUUUGUCCGGAAAGAAAUCCUUGGCUCUAAUACAGUCGGGGGAUGACGGUACCGGAAGAAUAAGCACCGGCUAACUACGUGCCAGCAGCCGCGGUAAUACGUAGGGUGCAAGCGUUAAUCGGAAUUACUGGGCGUAAAGCGUGCGCAGGCGGUUUGCUAAGACCGAUGUGAAAUCCCCGGGCUCAACCUGGGAACUGCAUUGGUGACUGGGCAGGCUAGAGUAUGGCAGAGGGGGGUAGAAUUCCACGUGUAGCAGUGAAAUGCGUAGAGAUGUGGAGGAAUACCGAUGGCGAAGGCAGCCCCCUGGGCCAAUACUGACGCUCAUGCACGAAAGCGUGGGGAGCAAACAGGAUUAGAUACCCUGGUAGUCCAGCGCCCUAAACGAUGUCAACUAGUUGUUGGGGAUUCAUUUCCUUAGUAACGUAGCUAACGCGUGAAGUUGACCGCCUGGGGAGUACGGUCGCAAGAUUAAAACUCAAAGGAAUUGAC
rnacentral:rRNA from 1 species